rnacentral:rRNA from 1 species
GACAGAGGUGCCAAGCGUUAGGCGGAAUCACUAGGCUUAAAGCGUGUGUAGGCGGACCGUUAAGUGCCUUGUGAAAUCCCAUGGCUCAACCAUGGAACUGCUGGGCAUACUGGCGGUCUUGAGACACCCAGGGGCUGCCGGAACAAAUGGUGGAGCGGUGAAAUGCGUAGAUAUCAUUUGGAACGCCAAUGGCGAAAGCAGGCAGCUGGGGGUGAUCUGACGCUGAGGCGCGAAAGCCAGGGGAGCAAACGGG